CAGCUGGACAGCAAGAAGCAGCAGAGUAAACAGCUGGAGGAGUCUCUGCAGAAGGCCCAGAAUGCAUUGCAGUCCUGCGAUCAUCAGCUGACCCAGCUGAAGGCGGAGUCAGAGGUGGUGCUCGGCCAGCUGAUGAUCUGGCAGCGAAUCAGAGACGAGCUGCAGGCGUACGUCUCCGCCGCACAGGACAUCAUGCAGAUCAGCCUGCUGUCCUUCAACCAAUCAGAGCUGUGUGUGGAGCUCAGGCCACGCCCCUCGCACCUGUCAUCCAAUGAGCUGGAGCCACUGAGGCUGUCCGUCACCUGGAGCCAUGACGACCGCUUCACACU